GAUGAACGCUGGCGGCGUGCCUAAUACAUGCAAGUCGAGCGAACGGACGAGAAGCUUGCUUCUCUGAUGUUAGCGGCGGACGGGUGAGUAACACGUGGAUAACCUACCUAUAAGACUGGGAUAACUUCGGGAAACCGUAGCUAAUACCGGAUAAUAUUUUGAACCGCAUGGUUCAAAAGUGAAAGACGGUCUUGCUGUCACUUAUAGAUGGAUCCGCGCUGCAUUAGCUAGUUGGUAAGGUAACGGCUUACCAAGGCAACGAUGCAUAGCCGACCUGAGAGGGGGAUCGGACACACUGGAACUGAGACACGGUCCAGACUCCUACGGGAGGCAGCAGUAGGGAAUCUUCCGAAAUGGGCGAAAGCCUGACGGAGCAACGCCGCGUGAGUGAUGAAGGUCUUCGGAUCGUAAAACUCUGUUAUUAGGGAAGAACAUAUGUGUAAGUAACUGUGCACAUCUUGACGGCACCUAAUCAGAAAGCCACGGCUAACUACGUG
rnacentral:rRNA from 1 species